rnacentral:rRNA from 1 species
UAAGAAGGGGGCAAGCGUUGUUCGGAUUUACUGGGCGUACAGGGAGCGUAGGCGGUUGGGUAAGCCCUCCGUGAAAUCUCCGGGCCUAACCCGGAAAGUGCGGAGGGGACUGCUCGGCUAGAGGAUGGGAGAGGAGCGCGGAAUUCCCGGUGUAGCGGUGAAAUGCGUAGAGAUCGGGAGGAAGGCCGGUGGCGAAGGCGGCGCUCUGGAACAUUUCUGACGCUGAGGCUCGAAAGCGUGGGGAGCAAACAGG